UUCGCCUCUCGCGAAGUGGUUGACCCCGCCCCUGCCCCCAGAAAGAAGCUGGGGACUGGAAGCCUGUGCUGGGAGUCUGCACCACCCCUUCCGCAGAAAGCUGACGGCUGGGUUGGCGGGAGCUUGGACACACACCCCCACGCGGGUUUGGAGAACUCACCCGCGAGCGAAGCUCGCGCCGAGGGCCACGUAGGCGGCUCCGGGGACGGGGCCAGGCCGGGGCCUCCGCCUGGCCCACAGUGCACUGCGCGCGGCCGCUGCGCGAGGCCGCUCUGGGCGGUUUCAGUUCCCUCUGCGGCUGGAGGGAGGAGGGUCCUUCUGCCACGUGGCGGCUUCUUCUGCGUUCCGCUCUCCCUUAGGGAUCAUACGCCCCGUUUUGUUCUAUUCUCUUCCUUAGAGUCGGUUUGGCCAGGGUCCGUGAAUACACCUAAGUCGGUCCCGUUGUUUGGUCAGGCAAACUGAGGCCCAGAGAGCAGCCGGAACGCAAGGGUUGACUGUAACAGGGAAGACCUUGGGACUGCAGGCUUCAAGAGUAUAACCACCAUCCAGAUGAAUAUACCAGCACACUUGAAGCCUCCUGUGAGGAAGGUACAAGAAUUAAAUGAAGAAAAGAAAAAAAGAACAAAGCCCCAGUCCAUCUCAUUUUUAUGUUUAAUAAGUUUAAAAAUUUGUAAUUAUGUUGUUUUGGUCAACUGUGUAAUAAUAAUAGUUGUAAUUUUAAAAACAUGUUCACAGAACCUAAAGUUAUAUACAUUAAUUUGUAUAUUUUGACUGCAGAGAA